UACGUAGGGUGCGAGCGUUAAUCGGAAUUACUGGGCGUAAAGCGUGCGCAGGCGGUUUUGCAAGCCGGAUGUGAAAUCCCCGGGCUUAACCUGGGAAUGGCAUUUGGGACUGCAAGGCUGGAGUGCGGCAGAGGAGACUGGAAUUCCUGGUGUAGCAGUGAAAUGCGUAGAUAUCAGGAGGAACACCGGUGGCGAAGGCGGCAUCCUGGACCACGACUGACACUGAAAAGCGAAAGCCAGGGGAGCAAACGGG
rnacentral:rRNA from 1 species